GAUGAACGCUGGCGGCGUGCCUAAUACAUGCAAGUCGAGCGAACGGACGAGAAGCUUGCUUCCCUGAUGUUAGCGGCGGACGGGUGAGUAACACGUGGAUAACCUACCUAUAAGACUGGGAUAACUUCGGGAAACCGGAGCUAAUACCGGAUAAUAUUUUGAACCGCAUGGUUCAAAAGUGAAAGACGGUCUUGCUGUCACUUAUAGAUGGAUCCGCGCUGCAUUAGCUAGUUGGUAAGGUAACGGCUUACCAAGGCAACGAUGCAUAGCCGACCUGAGAGGGUGAUCGGCCACACUGGAACUGAGACACGGUCCAGACUCCUACGGGAGGCAGCAGUAGGGAAUCUUCCGCGAUGGGCGAAAGCCUGACAGAGCAACGCCGCGUGAGUGAUGAAGGUCUUCGGAUCGUAAAGCUCUGUAAUUAGGAAAGAACAAAUGUGUAAGUAACUGUGCACAUCUUGACGGUACCUAAUCAGAAAGCCACGGCUAACUACGUG
rnacentral:rRNA from 1 species